rnacentral:piRNA from 1 species
UCCUUAGCCUCUGGAAUCUUCCAUUAGUU